AGAGCGAACGCUGGCGGCAGGCCUAACACAUGCAAGUCGAACGGACUCUUCGGAGUUAGUGGCGGACGGGUGAGUAACACGUGGGAACGUGCCUUUAGGUUCGGAAUAGCUCCUGGAAACGGGUGGUAAUGCCGAAUGUGCCCUUCGGGGGAAAGAUUUAUCGCCUUUAGAGCGGCCCGCGUCUGAUUAGCUAGUUGGUGAGUAAAGGCUCACCAAGGCUACGAUCAGUAGCUGGUCUGAGAGGAUGACCAGCCACAUUGGGACUGAGACACGGCCCAAACGUCCUACGGGAGGCAGCAGUGGGGAAUCUUGCGCAAGUGGGCGAAAGCCUGACGACAGCCAUGCGCGUAGAAUGAUGAAGGUCUUAGGAUUAGUAAAUUCUUUCGAAGGUAGGGACUAAGUAAGU
rnacentral:rRNA from 1 species